UACGUAGGGUGCGAGCGUUUGUCCGGAUUUAUUGGGCGUAAAGAGCUCGUUAGGCGGUUUGUCGCGUCGGCCGUGAAAUCUCCACGCUUAACGUGGAGCGUGCGGUCGAGUACGGGCAGACUUGGAGUUCGGUGACGGGGAGGACUGGAAGUUCCUGGAUGUAGCGGUGAAAUGCGCAGAUAUCAGGAGGAACACCGGUGGCGAAGGCGGGUCUCUGGGCCGAUACUGACGUGGAGGAGCGAAAGCCGUGGGGAGCGAACAGG
rnacentral:rRNA from 1 species